GACGAACCGUGCGAACGUUGUUCGGAAUCACUGGGCUUAAAGGGCGCGUAGGCGGGCCCCCUUGUCCGGGGUGAAAGCUUUCGGCUUAACCGGAAAAGUGCCCCGGAAACGGGGGGCCUGGAGGGAGGUAGGGGCGGCCGGAACUUCCGGUGGAGCGGUGAAAUGCGUUGAUAUCGGAAGGAACGCCGGUGGCGAAAGCGGGCCGCUGGACCUCUACUGACGCUGAGGCGCGAAAGCCAGGGGAGCGAACGGG
rnacentral:rRNA from 1 species